rnacentral:tRNA from 1 species
GGGGCAUUAGCACAGCUGGUAGCGCGCUACAUUCGCAUUGUAGAGGUCAGCGGUUCGAAUCCGCUAUGCUCCACCA